rnacentral:rRNA from 1 species
AGCGUGCGAUUGGAUUGCACGUCUAAGCAGUAAGGCUGAGUAUUAGGCAAAUCCGGUACUCGUUAAGGCUGAGCUGUGAUGGGGAGAAGACAUUGUGUCUUCGAGUCGUUGAUUUCACACUGCCGAGAAAAGCCUCUAGAUAGAAAGUAGGUGCCCGUACCGCAAACCGACACAGGUAGUCAAGAUGAGAAUUCUAAGGUGAGCGAGCGAACUCUCGUUAAGGAACUCGGCAAAAUGACCCCGUAACUUCGGGAGAAGGGGUGCUCUUUAGGGUUAACGCCCAGAAGAGCCGC